rnacentral:lncRNA from 1 species
ACUAGAUUCUGAUGCUUCCAAUUAUUUCAGUUUGGCAUCAAAAAUUAUUCCCCACCCAAGACCCUGGCACUGACUUCUGCAGAACAGGACCUAUUUGUUAGGUAAAAACUUUGGGCGGGGUGCAUUGGCUCACACUUGUAAUCCCAACACUGAGAGAUGCAGAGGCAAAAGGAUAGCUUGAGCCCAGGAGUUUGAGUCCAGCCUGGACAACAUAGCAAGACCCCAUUCUCCACAGAAA